rnacentral:rRNA from 1 species
CCUACGGGAGGCAGCAGUGAGGAAUAUUGGUCAAUGGGCGAGAGCCUGAACCAGCCAAGUCGCGUGAGGGAAGACGGUCCUAUGGAUUGUAAACCUCUUUUGCCGGGGAGCAAAAAGCGGUACGUGUACCGCAUCGAGAGUACCCGGAGAAAAAGCAUCGGCUAACUCCGUGCCAGCAGCCGCGGUAAUACGGAGGAUGCGAGCGUUAUCCGGAUUUAUUGGGAUUAAAGGGUGCGCAGGCGGCGAGUUAAGUCAGCGGUAAAAUUUCGGGGCUCAACCCCGACAAGCCGUUGAAACUGGCGUGCUAGAGUGGGCGAGAAGUAUGCGGAAUGCGUGGUGUAGCGGUGAAAUGCAUAGAUAUCACGCAGAACUCCGAUUGCGAAGGCAGCAUACCGGCGCCCAACUGACGCUCAGGCACGAAAGCGUGGGUAUCGAACAGGAUUAGAUACCCCGGUAGUC